rnacentral:rRNA from 1 species
UACGUAGGUGGCGAGCGUUAUCCGGAAUGAUUGGGCGUAAAGGGUGCGUAGGUGGUUUCUUAAGUCAGAGGUGAAAGGCUACGGCUCAACCGUAGUAAGCCUUUGAAACUGGGGAACUUGAGUGCAGGAGAGGAGAGUGGAAUUCCUAGUGUAGCGGUGAAAUGCGUAGAUAUUAGGAGGAACACCAGUUGCGAAGGCGGCUCUCUGGACUGUAACUGACACUGAGGCACGAAAACGUGGGGAGCAAACAGG